GCAAAAACAAAAUAAAACUUUCUAGUUCAGAGAGGAAAAAAAAGAUUAGGAGAAUGUCUAAAGCUGAUACCAAUGCAUCCAUGGUUAUGAACUUGACAGUUCUGAUGGUGUCUUUUCUCCUUCUAGUCUCUUUGGCUGAAAGCCAAUUUUUCGGAAAUGGGAUCUUGACACCUCCCAGUCCCAUAGCUCCGCCUCCCAGCUCUCCCUCCCCUCCCACCCUAGAAUGUGAUUCAGUGUAUGGUGUAAUAAGUGGAGACACAUGCUUUGAAGUGGCUAAGACGUUCAAACUCACUACUGCAUUGUUUGAAACACUCAACCCCAAUCUCAAUUGCUCAGCUCUCUUCAUAGGUCAAUGGCUUUGCCUUGAUGGAAAAUUAACUUAAGCUGCUGUUAUUUUUACUUUUUUCUGUUGUUGAGAAUGAAUGCUGCUGUAAAUUGAUCCUCAAAACAACUGGGAAAUAAACUAUGAAUAAAAAUGAACUAAUGGCAGUCCAAAUUAAUCAUGGGUUCAUACUCAUUUUCAA